GCUGGGUGUGGUGGCUCACGCCUGUAAUCCCAGCACCUUGGGAGGCCGAGGCGGGUGGAUCACCUGAGGUCGGGAGUUCGAGACCAGCCUGACCAACAUGGAGAAACCCCGUCUCUA
rnacentral:SRP_RNA from 1 species